UGCAUUGGGGCGGAACACUUAAUUGGCAGCCACUUCCUGCGGGAGGUAAUUUUUGUGACCACACACUUGGAAAUCUUUAUUGUGACGGUGUUAAUCGAGUUCUUGGACAAAGUGAAGUAAAGUCAUUAUUGUAAGCUUCUGUAUAGCAUUUAUCUUUAAAAUAUUGUUCAGGAAAUACGUUGUGGAGAAAGGUGGAAGCUAUGAAGGGAAUUAGCUCCUUUGGUGAUAAGCUGCCAGCGAGUUUUCACGGGACGAAUUGAACAACGAUGGAAUAAAGGAGCCCUGUUUUUUAAUCAAAGUUCGCGUCUGCGUGUUACUGGGGAAGCUACAACCUCAACAUAACGAGACACACAACGUGAAAGCUGAAAGUGGCUGCAGCUACAGUAUGCCCAUUCUGUUCUGGUGUGUGUGACUCCAUCCGUAGCUCUUUUUCCUAUCCAUGCAAUCUGUGAUUGAUGGAAUGAGCCGAGGAGCAGAGCACUGUCUGAGGGAGGUGGAAGUAUUUAUUGGAGCAAGUAAAAAAUGGAGCGUGAGAGAGAGAGAGAGAGAGAUGAGCUGUCAGGAUUUCUUGAAUGGCACAGCAGUUUCCACCUGCAAUAACAAGGCCUUUGAAUCCCUGCUGCACUGGCUCAGACAGAGUGAAAAGACUCUCUUUGUGAUGGUCUCUGACAUGCUGUUAUUGCUUUUCACGCUAAUCGAUGUGCACCAAUGACCAUGCAUGUAUGCACAGAAGCAUACGGGUCAUUUUUGUGUCUCUCAAGUGGAAGCCAAAAUCAAAGCUUUUUUUCUGAAAUGCAUGUCUCUUCUCCAAAACUGGGAAAACCUGACACCUAUAGGCAUAGUUGCAGUGUUUUGGUUGGUCCCUGUCUGUCUUGUCUGUUCUGUGUAUGUCCAGGGCUGGGUAUGGUGACCUACUUUUCCUUCCUGCCUCUUCACCUACGCACAUGCCGUCCAUCAGCUUCAAUAAACUCCACCCCAACCUUCAAAGACCAUCUCCACUCACUGCACCCAGCUCUCCUAGCGUCUCCCUUGAUUUUGCCAUCUCCCUGGAUCAUCUCUGUGUUCAGUCACUGUGAUCCUCCUCCCUGGAUGACUCCCCCACCCUGCUAUUCUCACCUGCCACAUCAACAUCACUGGAUUCAGGGCUCUGGAUUUUGUUUUUCUUGGACUCUUAGUUAUAUUUAAGACUUAUUUCAGCAACUCUGUCCUUUGUUAAUUGAUUAAAAACUUUACUUUUUG